rnacentral:rRNA from 1 species
UACGAAGGGUGCAAGCGUUGUUCGGAAUUACUGGGCGUAAAGAGCGCGCAGGCGGUCGUUCAAGUCGCGUGUGAAAGCCCCCGGCUCAACUGGGGAGGGUCACGCGAUACUGAUCGACUGGAAGGCAGGAGAGGGUAGUGGAAUUCCCGGUGUAGUGGUGAAAUGCGUAGAUAUCGGGAGGAACACCAGUGGCGAAGGCGACUACCUGGCCUGUUCUUGACGCUGAGGCGCGAAAGCUAGGGGAGCAAACGGG